GGAAAAUAUCCCAAAGAAUUAAAAAGAAGAAAGCUGUGAAUAAAACCCCAAAGCCCACUACUGGAGAAUGAGCUCUCUUUUUGCCUGCUGCCAUCCACGUAAGACGUGACUUGUUUCUCCUUGCCUUCUGCCAUGAUUGUGAGGCUUCCCCAGACACUUGGAACUGCACAAAAAUGUGUUUUUAACCUACUCUAGCCAACUGUCAAAAGGCUGUGUUAAGUGAUUCUCGGACAAGGUACCCCCAGAACCCAGACUGCAGCUACAGGCCCUCCUGAUGACAUCAAAAACUCCACAACUUGAAGUAGAGAUGAUUCCACCAGAAGUCCUCAGUAAGGCCCUGGAGAAAUGCAGAGAUGCAGGUUUAACGAAGUCCAUACAGUUUCAAUCACUAACUGUUGGAACUGAUCCUCAGACAAGCCAAGACUCAAGUACAAGCCCACCUACAAUUAGAUGAGACCUUAGGGCCACUGGGGCCUUCUCUGACUUUGUGCUCUUCACACACUUCCUUACAUUAGAAUAAUGUAAUUGUUCAGUAUGUUGUGCUUUAAUUUUUUAAGAGAAUGUCAAAGGCUAGCCAUGACACUGUUACCUGUAUUUCUUUUAAUUUAACUUUUCCCUAAAUAUUAAAUAAUGUAAUUAUUCAGAA